rnacentral:misc_RNA from 1 species
UUUCCGUAGGUGAACCUGCGGAAGGAUCAUUACUGAGUGAGGGCCCCUCGGGGUCCAACCUCCCACCCGUGUUUAACGAACCUUGUUGCUUCGGCGGGCCCGCCUCACGGCCGCCGGGGGGCAUCUGCCCCCGGGCCCGCGCCCGCCGAAGCCACCUGUGAACGCUGUCUGAAGUAUGCAGUCUGAGACAAUUAUUAAAUUAAUUAAAACUUUCAACAACGGAUCUCUUGGUUCCGGCAUCGAUGAAGGACGCAGC